rnacentral:rRNA from 1 species
GACGAACCGUGCGAACGUUAUUCGGAAUCACUGGGCUUAAAGCGCGUGUAGGCGGCUUGGUAAGUCCGCUCUGAAAGCCCGGGGCUCAACCCCGGGAGGCGGGUGGAUACUGUCAAGCUCGAGUCCGGAAGAGGCGAGUGGAAUUCCUGGUGUAGCGGUGAAAUGCGUAGAUAUCGAGAGGAACACCUGCGGCGAAGGCGGGUUGCUGGGCCGACACUGACGCUGAUGCGCGAAAGCGUGGGGAGCAAACAGG